CCACCCCGGGCCCCGGACACCCACUAGCGGCCGCUCGGCGGCGAGCCCAGCUACCAGCCCCGCGACAUGGCCACGGCCGCCGGCCUGCGACGCGAAGGAGGCGGCGCUGCCGCAGAGCCGGGGCCGCUUCGGCGCCCGCCCGCCAGCUGAUCCCCGAGCGCCGCGCUGAGGCCGCCCCUCCCCGCGCGCGCGCCCGUCGGCUCCGACCACCCACCCGGAAGUGACCCGCCACCGGAAGUGCUUCUUAGGGCUGCGCAGCCCCUGCUCAGGGCCGUCUCGAGUGCACCAGCCGUAACUACAGAGUAAAAGAAAUCGAUGGCAAGAAGGGGACCAGAGAAGGGGGAACUCGGGACAGAGACACUUGAAGAGAACGUUGCCGUAGUCCGGCCGCUGAGCACCCUGGGAAGGGUAGUUCGGUGUAAUCUGGCAUCUGGACUACAAUUCCCAAGAUGCCCCGGGAGCGAGAGCACUUUCGGACGCCGUCUCCGGGACCUGGAGGUGAUAAUGAGGUGGUGCAGAAGUGAAGCUUCGGGUAUUUAAACACAUCCGGUAAGUCACCAGAGACUACUUUUCCAGCUGCUCGUCCCACUCACUGGAGCCAUUUUAUCUAUGGCCUGGCCUCAUGGACCGAGGCACUCUGGGAAUUGUGGUUUCACAUGAGUCCGGACUGACACCUGAAGGACGCGGCUUAACUGCCUCGCCCCAGUUGGGAUUGGGAGUUCCCCGACGUCACGGGAGCUGAGGUACUGAAGGCUUGGGGGCUGGGGAGAAGUGGGUAUGAUGCCAGCAGGGAGCCAAGCGGAAUCUCAGUGCUGAAGGAAACAAAGCAGGUGUCUUCCGGCCACCGACCACGAUAAAAACUCCAGAGAAGCCCGAGAAUCGAAGAAGGAACUGCGGGACACCCAGUACACGGAGCAUCUAAGGACCAGGAAUCUUAAAACUAGAAGAUGCUGGGUUUAAGCAUCGCUUGGGUGAGGAUAGAGUACAAGGCUGUGUGCUUGGCACCUGUCAAAUACUGAAGCUUUGGAAAGGAAUUGAGAUCUCUGCUCCUAGAUUGCCUCACAGAGGAUAUUGAUGCGGUGCCAAAUCCUUGCCUUCCCUGCGCCCUCCCCCCAAGAAAUACAUGUUUUUUCUCUUCUUUGACAUAGGUUAUUUUUCUCCUCCGCCAGCUUUCCACACUUCUUGAUUAUGCAAACGCCCUCUUACAGUUCAUCCCAGAAUUUCUACUUCAAGCACUUGAGGAAGAUCUAGAAGGGUGGCCCCCAGCAAGUAAAAAGAUGGCUCUUGACUAAUCUGAAUGUUGAGCUGGGCUGAGCUGGCGGUGGCUGCUGCGGUUUCUUGUUUCAUGUGGUGCCAUAGUCAUCUAACUCCCCAGAGAGAGAUAGCAUCUUUCCUUCCAGAGAAGCCAGCCUUGCCACCUCGGUUCACACAAUCCUGUAGCCACCUUGAGGGUGAGACUCAGCACCUGCUGAGCAUCCCUUUAACUCAACCCACGGGAUGUGCUCUCCUCACCUUCCUUAAAAGGCUUGAUUUCUGUCUAAAGAAGCUUGAUGUGUAUCUUAAAAUAGAUGGGAAGUCUUAUUGGGCUGAUAGACCCUCAUCUUUCUCAGCACCUGUUCAUUUUGAGGGACUUUUAAAGAAUGUAUUAGUUUCUCUAUCCAUCCAGCCCUGUUGCCUUAUCAGGUUUUACUUUUCUCCACUUUUCUGGUACAGACCAGGUUUGCCCAAAUCUCAAACCACACUUCAGACAAAGUUUUCCAGCGGGAGCAGCUUGCUCCCAUUGAAUAAUAUGUAUUUACUAGGUAAUCAACCUGAAUGAAAAGCCACUGUUUAACAGAAGGGGACUGUAGCAAUCAUUCCUAUGUAUUGAUGAGUGAGUGAGUGAGUGAGUGAGUGAGUGAGUGAGUGAGUCAGAGAGACAGAGAGACAGAGAGGCUUUGUCAUACUUUGUAAAUUGGCUGGCCUGGAACUCAACUUCAUAGACCAAGCUGGCCUCAAACUCACAGAGAACUGCCUGCCUCUGCCUCCCAAGUGCUGGAACACAUUUUUUUUUUAAAGUAUAGCUUGAUUACAGUCUGAGCGAAAAUAAUUAAGUGACUAAUAGGAGACUAAAUCUAUUUUCCAUCCUUUCAGAGACUAAUGUUUAUUAUAAUAGCAAUUAUAGCUCAGGUUUUCUAGUUUUAUAUAGAUUAUAUUAUUUAAUCCUCACAUCAACCUAUGAAGUACAGUACUAUUUUUAAGAUCAUUUUAAAGGUGAAGAACUGAAGCACAAGGUGGAUAAUAAGCCCAGAAUCGCACUGGCACCAGCUAGCAACACCAGGAUUCAAGCUCAAACAGUUUGGCUUCUGAGCUCAAACUUAAAACUGUUUACUUAGGAGGAAGAAACUGACAAAAAGCCUUGAGCAUGAGUAGGAAUCUAUGUGGCUCUCCUCAGCUUUAACCAUAGAACACUUAGAUCUUGAUACCCAUUAACCACAAAACCAGAGCUCACUAGUUCUCGAGGACAAAAUAACCUCAAAUGAGCCAUUCUAAAUCUGCAAACUUAACACGCUUUCUACAAUGCGUCGCACCACACCUUGGGCCCCUGACUAGCAUUUCAUCACUGCAUCACUCAGAGUCAAGGAACUGUCUUCUGCUUACCUCCUUAGACAUCCAACACAAUCUUUUAUGUAGAGUGGGUUCUUAAUCCCAACGUAUCUGAAUUACACAAUUGCCUUUAGCUACCAGAAAAGAGCAAUCUGAGGUGGGAAGAUGGAUCAGGUGAGCUUGAAAUGGCUCUGGGAGGCACUGGUUAUGUCCUGCUUAAAGGAAACUGACAUUUGCUCUGCAACCAUGUGUCGGUUUCUGUCUAAACACUUAGCACAGUAUCUUGUUCAGUCCUCACAAUUGGUGUUGUCUGGAGAAUUGAUACUAUUGGCUGAAUCAAAGUAGAUUCUGUUACACUGGUAUCUUCCAUUCUGUAUGAAUACCGGAGACCGUGUAUUUGUCUUCUGAAGUUUGAAGGGAAUUAUUUGCCCUGUGUUGUUGCAAAAUCAGGCAUUGUGAACUCUGUUAUGGAAAUGAAAUGAUGAGCUUUGUCAUAGUUAGGUUUCCAUUUCGAGGAUAAAACACAGUGACCAAAAGCAACUUGGGGAGGAAAGGGUUUCUUUCAGCUCACAACUCUCAGGUCACACUGCAUCACAGACAGUAGUUAGGACAGGAACUUGGGGACAGGCGAUGAAGCAGAGGAUAUGGAGGAACACUGCCUACUACUGUCUUGUUCCUUCACCAGUAGUUUCUCGGGACUCUCUUCAGGAACUCUAACCUUAAGUAGACUCAGACCUCAGCUUCUCUCCAUGGCCCCUUCAAUCCUGGGGCUUCAGAUGCCUCUGAGGUGCAGCUUCAACAGUGGCCUCUCCCAGCCUCUUUCCAGGGACUUCAGCCCUCCCACACAGUUCCAAGCCUGAGUGCUCUCCAGAACCCUUCAUGCCUUCCAAAACAAUACCACCUGGGAAUCGUGGACUACCGAGCUCUACCAGAUGAGAUGCAGCCUUGGGCUGCUCUGUGUGCUGAGCCUGAGGAAACACCUCCCAGAAGAGUUUGCCUCCAUGAUGCUUGUCUCUUCUUACUCACAGCUGAUUUUGCAGCCCCAGCUGACCAGUAUAGAUUGUCCAGCAAAGCAAAGGUUUUUAGCAGUUCUUAAUUCAAAAUGCCAAAUGGCCCUGAUAGAGUCUUUAAGGGACUCUCGAGCUUCCCUCUGAAACGUCACAAGCCAGGCCUCCACCGUCUGCACUGCUCUUAGGUUUCUCUUUUUUUUUUUUUUAAAGAUGUAUUUAUUAUAUCUGAGUACACUGUAGCUGUUUUCAGAAGGGGGCAUCAGAUCUCAUUACAGAUGGUUGUGAGCCACCAUGUGGUUGCUGGGAAUUGAACUCAGGACCCCUGGAAGAGCAGUCAGUGCUCUUAACCACUGAGCCAUCUCUCCAGCCCAGGUUUCUCUUUUGAGUUCCCACAAUAGCUCAUUAAGCUCUGAACACUCAAUGGCUUUCCUGGCCCAAAGUUCCAAAGUCUUUCCUCAACCCUCCCUGAAACGUGGUCAUGUUUGUUACAGCAACGUCCCCCAUUAUCCUGGUACCAAUUUCUAUAUUAGUUAUUUUUCAGACACUCUGAUAAGCAACAUGACCAAAAGCAGCUUAGGGAAGAAAGGGUUUAUUUUUAUCUCCAGCUUAUAGUCCAUCAUCCAGGGAGAUGAGGAUGGGAACCUGGAGGCAGGAACUGAUGCAGAAGCCAUGAAAAGGUGCUUCUUACUAGCUUGCUCAGCCUGCUUUCGGAGAGCAUCCAAAACCACCUGCCCAGGGGCGGCAUCACCUACAGUAAGCUGAACUAAGGUAAGGCCACAUCAAUCAAGAAAAUGUACCACAAGCUAAAUGGGUGGGGACAUUUUCUCAGUUGAGAGUCCAUUUUCUGAUAUGCCUCUGGCUUGUGUCAGUUUGACAUAAAAACUAAGCAUCACACACGAGAAGAAGACGUGAAAGGAAAAACAACUUUAGAAAAAAUAAAAGGACCUCAAAGGCCCCAGCCGAGUGACACAUUGUGUUGAGUUUGUACCUCCUGACCUUGACAACAAUCCUGACUUCAUUUUAUCCAUGUGGAAAAAAGAGGCUGCAUGGGGCUAAGAUAUCAACGGUUGCUACACACAAAGCCACAAAGAGCAGAGCCAGAGUCAGAACCAGACUGACCUCAAAACCCACAUCAGGUUCUGUGCUAUUUCUGUGUUCCAUUCUGUGUUGUCAUCUCGCAGCCGGGUGGAACUUGUUAGAAAUGCAAACUGUUGGGCUCCGCCCAGACCUGCAAAAUCUGUAGGCUAGAUAGAGACAAUGUCUUCAGACACCUAGAAAAUGCCAGCCGGUGUUCUGGUACAGCUACUGCUUAGCUGAAAGAACUGGUGAAAACCAGACCUGACUUAAAACAAAAAAAAAACUUAAAUUGGUUUUGUUUCAUCCUCUGGUUAGAAAAAAGAACAACAGAUUUACUGAAAAAAAAAAAGUAUUGAAAAGAAGGAUUUCUAAUUUGAUUUCCUUUUAUCAUGUUCUAUAUAAUACAGCUGUGUGUAUAUGUGUAUGUGUGGUAUACGUAGGGUCUUUUUUAAUGUUAAUGUGUUAGCAGGUACCCACACACAUAUUUGAUUCCAAAAUUGGUGUGAAUGUUGUCCUCUAUCUCUUUCCACCGUAUCCACUGAGGCAGAUGGCUCACUGAACCCAGAGCUCGCCAUGUUAGCUGAUCUGGCUAGGCAGCCACUUGGAGGAUUCCCUAUGUCAGCCUUUUGCUUCUGAUUACAGGUGGACCACGGCACCCACACAGCUUCUACAUGGGUCCUGGGGAUCCAAACUGCUGUCCUAGAACUUGUAGGGAAAGCACUUUACCCACGAAGCCAUCUCCCAAGACCACAUAAACUCAUUUUAAACCAUGUUGGAUUGUGUUGUGUGUAAUCAACUAUUUCUUAUUUAUGUAUUUUGUACAUUUUUGAGUUUUCCAUGUCAUUCGCUAUUCUCUAAAAACUACUUUAGUGGCUGCUUAGCCACCCCCUCACUAUGCAAUAUUUUUGUUUUAUUUUAAAAUGUUGCUGUUACACACACACACACACACACACACAAACACACACACACAACUAGAAUGAACAUCCUUUUGUUUGCUGCUUUGAUUUUUUUCUAAGGCAGCUGUUUGGUAAAUAAAAUAUCUCUAAAGGUAUGAUUGUUUACAACUAGAGAACCAAAACACCCAGAACAGUUCCUGGGUUUACACUCAGUUCACUGACUUGGCUCACAAAAAUUUAUUAAGUGCCUUACAUAUCAUAAUGGACAAUAUAUAUUUCCUGCCAAACAGAUGUUCCCAGAAGAAAAGCCACACCUAUUUCAAAGAUUUUCCAGGGCUGAUUGACUGAUUAGUGCUUCCUGAUUGGUCAGAGUUGGAAUGUUGCAUAUCCAGAGCCAGAUUAUUAUGGGCUGCCUUUAGCCCCCUCAGUGACCAUUCACUGCCCACCUUCUUAUCUGACCUAAAGAACUUGAAAGAAAACUAUUGGGAUGUUUGUUUCGCUCAGCAAACCCAAGGCUUUGUUUGUUCAGCCAGCAACUCCAAGGCUAAAAAUGUCAUCAGAUAGCAUUCGAAGCCUGCUGCAGAUUUUGCAGCCCCUCCCAGCCAUGCUUCGACCAGCCUACCUGAUGUUCCCAGGAUGUAGUUGAAAAG
ensembl:lncRNA